rnacentral:SRP_RNA from 1 species
GCUGGGUGUGGUGGCACACACCUGUAAUCCCAGCUACUUGGGAGGCUGAGGCAGGAGAAUCGCUUGAACCCGGGAGGUGGAGGUUGCAGUGAGCCAAGAUCGUGCCACUGCACUCCAGCCUGGGUGACAGAGCAAGACUCUGUCUCAA